UACGUAGGGUGCAAGCGUUAAUCGGAAUUACUGGGCGUAAAGGGUACGCAGGCGGCUAGGAAAGAAAGAUGUGAAAUCCCAGGGCUCAACCUUGGAACUGCAUUUUUAACUACCUGGCUAGAGUAUGUCAGAGGGGGGUAGAAUUCCACGUGUAGCAGUGAAAUGCGUAGAGAUGUGGAGGAAUACCGAUGGCGAAGGCAGCCCCCUGGGAUAAUACUGACGCUCAGGUACGAAAGCGUGGGGAGCAAAC
rnacentral:rRNA from 1 species